ACACAAACACCAUCAACAAUAAAAACAUCAACAAUAGGAUCAUCAACAAAUAUCCUCAAUAAAAAUUGUGGCAUCAAGACACAAAAUCAUCAACAAUAGCAACAUUAAUAAUAAGAUCAUCAAUAAACAUCAUUAACAAUAACAUCAUCAAUAAUAACAUCAUCAACAAAAGAAUCAUCAAUAAUGGCAUCAUCAACAAUAACAUCAAC
rnacentral:lncRNA from 1 species